CUCUCUCUCUCAGUGUAUUUUAAUGUAAAAGAACCUCCCCUCAUAUGGGGGAACGUCCUCUUUCUUUCUUUGUUAAAGUCAUGUAAUUUCCUGAUGUGUCAGUAGAGCUGCUGUCUGUCAGUGAAGACACUGAAUGAGACUCGAUCUGAGACUCUUCUGCUGGGAUUGAGUUCUUUUGAAGCUGGACUUUAGAGAAAUGAUGCUCAUCUUUGGACUGAUGCUGCUGCUGCUGCAAACUGCUGCAUGUCUGGAUCGGUUCUGCUGGUUUAAUCAGUCUGAUCCCUGUUACACAGCUCUGGGACACAAACUCAAUCUGAUGAUGGUGCUGGAUGCUAGUAAAUAUGACCUGAAGAUAAUAAAGAGAAUAAACAAUGCAGCAGAUGAUCCAGUUUGUAGAGUAAAGUAUGGCAAGAUGAAGAAAUGUGAUCUUUAUAAUAACAGAACUGAAGUGACGGUCAUUAAUGGGACUGUGAUAAUAAACCGUGUGAUCAGAGCAGAUUCAGGGAAUUACACAUUAAGACUCGAUCGCUCAGAUGGCUCAGUAACAUCUAGAGAUCUUCAAGUGAUUGUUGAAGCUCCUAUUGGCUCAGUGGAAGUGUCAAUCAUCUGCUUCUCCAGUGGGGGGAUGAGGGUGUUCUGCUCCUCUGAGGGGGAUCAGCUCCUCUACAGCUGGACUCUGAAUGGAGAUCCACUGAUGGAUGGAAACAGCAGCAUUGAUCUGGAUGAGAGAACUGAUGGAGACAUCAGCUGCAGCGUGAAGAACCACGUCAGUCACGCACAGAAGACCAUUAGACUCAAACCCUGUCCUGGUCUGAAUUGGUUCUGCUGGUUUAAUCAGCCUGAUCCCUGUUACGCAGCUCUGGGACACGAACUCAAUCUGCUGAUGGUGCAGGAUGCUAGUGAAUAUGAUCUGAAGAUACAAAAGAGAAUAAACAACACAGCAGAUGAUUCAGAUUGUAGAGUAAAGAAUGGCAGAAUGAGGAUGAGUCAGUGUGAUCUUUAUUAUAACAGACCUGAAGUGACAGUCAUUAAUGGGACUCUGAUAAUAAACCGUGUGACCAGAGCAGAUUCAGGGAAUUUCAGAUUAACUCUCGUUCACUCAGAUGGCUCAGGAACAUCUAGAGAUCUUCAGGUGAUUGUUGAAGCUCCUAUUGGCUCAGUGGAAGUGUCAAUCAUCUGCUCCUCCAGUGGGGGGAUGAGGGUGUUCUGCUCCUCUGAGGGGGAUCAGCUCCUCUACAGCUGGACUCUGAAUGGAGAUCCACUGAUGGAUGGAAACAGCAGCAUUGAUCUGGAUGAGGGAACUGAUGGAGACAUCAGCUGCAGCGUGAAGAACCACGUCAGUCACGCACAGAAGACCAUUAGACUCAAACCCUGUCCUGGUCUGGAUCGGUUCUGCAGGUUUGAUCAGUCUGAUCCCUGUUACGCAGCUCUGGAACACAAACUCAAUCUGAUGAUGGUGCAGGAUGCUAGUAAAUAUGACUUGAAGAUACAAAAGAGAAUAAUCAACACAGCAGAUGGUCCAGUUUGUAGAGUAAAGAAUGGCAGGAUGAGGAUGAGUGAAUGUGAUCUUUAUAAUAACAGACCUGAAGCGACAGUCAUUAAUGGGACUGUGAUAAUAAACCGUGUGAUCAGAGCAGAUUCAGGGAAUUACAGAUUAACUCUCGACAGCUCAUACGGCUCAGAAACAUCUGAAGAUCUUCAAGUGAUUGUUGAAGCUCCUAUUGGCUCUGUGGAAGUGUCAAUCAUCUGCUCCUCCAGUGGGGUGAUGAGGGUGUUCUGCUCCUCUGAGGGGGAUCAGCUCCUCUACAGCUGGACUCUGAAUGGAGGUCCACUGAUGGAUGGAAACAGCAGCAUUGAUCUGGAUGAGAGAACUGAUGGAGACAUCAGUUGCAGCGUGAACAACAACGUCAGCCACUCACAGAAGACCAUUAGACUCAAACCCUGUCCUGCUGAUGGUUCUGUUGGGUCUGUUAGGAGCUUUUCACAUCUACAUGAGACACACAUCAGCAAAGAAACAGGAAGAUCAGAAAGUGAGGAUGAGAAGAUUGAGAGAAGGACAUGAAGACACAGCAGAAGAUUCAUGAGAGCAGCAGCAGAUCAUCACAUCUAUUUACACUAUAAUCUCACUGACUCUCACAUCAAUCCAGCUUUCAGAUGUCAAAUAAAACCAGGAGACAGAAGAAGCUUUCA
ensembl:lncRNA